rnacentral:rRNA from 1 species
UACGGAGAGUGCAAGCGUUGUUCGGAAUUAUUGGGCGUAAAGCGCGUGUAGGCGGUUCCAACAAGUCUGGCGUGAAAGCCUUGAGCUCAACUCAAGAAGUGCGCUGGAAAACUGUCGGGACUUGGAGUACUGGAGGGGGAGGUGGAAUUCUCGAGUGUAGAGGUGAAAUUCGUAGAUAUUCGGAAGAACAUCAGUGGCGAAGGCGAACCUCCUGGACAGAGUACUGACGCUGAGACGGCGAAAAGCGUGG